AGUAGGUUAUCGGUAUACACAAUAGACUCAAGAUCUAUCAGCGCAAGCUAAUGAGGGUUCAAAUCCCUCCUUCCA
rnacentral:tRNA from 1 species